rnacentral:misc_RNA from 1 species
UUGAAUAUACAUGAUGGGUUGUAGCUGGCUCUACGGAGCAUGUGCACGCUUGUCUUGAUUUUAUUCGUCCACCUGUGCACCUUUUGUAGUCUUGGGGAAGGCUUGACUGUCGGAAUUUGUUUUCCGGAUGUGAGGAAUGCUAGCGCUUUUCUCUAUUGACGGUCUGCCUCAAGUGCUAUGUAUUCAUAUACCACAUCGUAUGUUGUAGAAUGUGAUCAAUGGGAAUAAUCAUAUA